rnacentral:lncRNA from 1 species
CUCACUCAUAGGAAGGAGGAGACUAGAGAGGUCUCACAGUCUCUUCAUUCAUUGCCGAAAUGGAUUCUUACAGAAGUAACCACGCCUCCUGAGCGUUCAAGUUCACAAACCACGCUGUCUCCUUGUUUCAGGUUGUACUUCUUACUUAGAGCCGCCCAGCCAGUGAAACAAGGGUUACGACCGUAGAUCUUAGUGAAAGCAUCGUGUUUUUGGUUGCGGACGAUGUAAUACAUGGGGGAUUUAUGGGGACCAAACUUCAGCCCAUACUUCUCAAUCACCGGAUGGCCCACAUACUAUUUGCACACACAUAGAAAAUAGGGAGACAACAAGUCUUUAGCUUCAUAGGAAACAAACAUAAACUGAAAUUUUAUUACUACAAAAGAAACUAACAAAGCUGUUAUUAUUUACCAGAACAUCGAUCUUUUUAGUCAGUGUCUUCACAAAGUAGGGAUUGUUGGGAUUGAAGAGGUACUGUUCAGGGUUUUGGACAUUUAGGACAGGAGCAUAACCCUGUCUUGCUCCACUUACUGAAAUAUCCGACAUAACAGAAACAAAAAGGAAUCAAACUUAGAGCAGAAUAUUCAUAUUUCAUUCGAUAUAUAAGAAAAAAAAGGUCUUACCAGAGCCAGAGGAAGAGGCAGCGUGAGAAGUCUGGGGAUUAGUGUUAAGCAGUUCAGAUUCGGGCUCAGCUUCAAGAAGAGGCGCCGAGACGAUCUCCUUGAAGACGUGCAAAUCUUGCUUAUAGAUUCGCACUUCUACAAACAUUGUGUCUUGGUGUGUGAAGAACAAGACAUCGUUUGGACCUAACAAGUUGUCAUCCACAAACUCAUCCCAAUCUUCUUUUUCCAUGAACAGACCACCGUUGUUCUUGUCUCGCUGGAGCCAGAGCUGCCACGAGUUGCCCCAAGAAACACUAAACACCACUCUAUGCUCAAUAGCACCAGACGCGCUUCUCAAAAACUCCUCAGGAAUAAUCCUCUUCGUAAACCAAACCAGUUGACAAAGAACAAACAAUAUUGGCAUUAGAAGAGAACAAAUGAGAGUAACUUUCAGAAAUAAUAGCAAGUUGAAAGCAGAGUAGCUCUGUUUUCAGAGGAGAGACUAAUAGUGAGUUACCAUGGAUUUAGAUUUCCAAGUUUCUCCAGAAGACAGAGACUUGUAGAAGCGAGGCUUGCUCACAUUUUCCUGAAGCAUAGCAAAAACACUACUUUGCGACAUUAUCUUGUUUUUUUUUUCCUUCAGCUUCAAAGCCGCUAGUUCUGUUUCAGAAACUAGGGUUUGUAAGUGAAAUGAAGGGAAAAAAAAAUUUAACACUUUACCACGCCGAUUGUUUGCUAAAAUACACUCCUAAGUGUUAGGAGAGCAAACAAUGUGUGCGGACAGUAGUGGAGAAACCCUAGGUUAGAAUUGGGAGUAAUAGUUUCUAUUUUAAGAAGGAAAGAAAAAAAAAACAUAAUUGAGUAACACGCAAGUAACUGCUUAAAAGGUAAACGCCGGUGUAAAAUGCACGUACCAGUGACAGUAGAAGAAGCUUUAUCCCUAGCUGACGCUGCUCUUCUGAGUGAGGAUAGAGAGAGGAGAAAAUGCAUCAAGAGCAACUGUUACUUUGACUCGUACGGAACAAGUUGCCAAAGCAUAUUAUUACUGAGUCUGACAAGAUCCAUUUUGAAAUUGGGCUUGAAAAGGCCCAUUAUAAAACUAGGUCAUAAAAUAGUGUUAAUAAUAGCAACAAAACGUAGCUCAUCUAUCUUCUAUACCACUACUAUAUCAGAGGUGACACGAUACUAAAUGCACUUGCCGUGACCGUUGUUAUCGUGUUUGUCACGGUAUCCGCAAGUUUUUGUUUGGGCUCAUGGUUAAUGUGCUUUCAUGUCUUUCAAGUGUUCACUUGAAAACACUUUAAUUGUUACAUUUUUUUGAAGUACAAAGAUGGAACCAAUCAUAUUCAUAGACAUUGUUGAAACAAUUAAAUACAAAGAGUUUCAUACAAUUAAAAAACUAUAUAAUAUUACAAAGACCAUAGCUUAUGCAACAGACAUUCCAUCAUAUGCUUCAUUUUCUAAUCAACCGUCUGAGAAUUUAGCAGGCAAUGGAAGUUGCUGAAGGAGUUACCAGAACAGCUGUCUUUCCAGUUACCGGCUUCAUACUAGCUGCACUCUCUAGCCUUGCCCACGUUUCUUUCCUCUUCUCCAUUACAGAACAUUGCUUUGCUUCUUCCUCUUGAUAGCGUGCGUGGCAAGACAUGAACAAAUCCUCGUCCAUUUCACAGAACAUUUUCCUCACGUUUAGGGUUAGGUUCAGCACAGAUUGGUUCCAAUGAUUCUCAGCAUUCUUCUCCAAAGCAGCGAACAUGAUCGGCAGUAUAGCUUCCCGGUUAUGCGCAACCAAAUUCACAAUCUGAUCAUUGCUCCACAAGAACAAAGCUCUUUCGGAAACCUAAAAAGCCCAAAAAAGCCCAUUAGCUCAAAAACUUUCCAAAAACUAUUAGAUCUCAUCAAAACAUACCUGAAAGUGACAACUGUUGACACAACAAGCAACCCUCAAGAACAACGGAACCAUCACUUUCCGAAACUCCACCACACUCAUCCCCUCAACAACCUCUUCAACCUCUCCAAUAAACAUCACUUCCUUCUGACUAUUCGUGACAGGCCAGAACUUCAACAAACCAUUCACCACAACACUCCCCAGCUUCGGCUCCUUAUCCACAAACUGAGUCACGCAGUAAGUUAACUGCUGGAAGUAGCUCCCAAGGGACUUAGCUUUGUGCAAAGGAAUCAACACUCUCCACAAAAACAUCUUGUGUUCUUCCUUCAAAGGCAGAGCAAAACCACUCACUAUGCUCCCGAAAACCUCCAGAAGCUCGGCGAUUCCGCCGUGCUUCUCAGUCUCAAACACAAACCUGUAGAAUAUAUUACUCAUUGACUUGCGGAUAAAGGGUCUGUGAACCAUGAACUUCCCGUAGAGACGGUGGAGAACCGUCUUCAAACACUCUCGUUCUCUAGGAUCUUCCGAAUCAAACAAGUCGAGUAACCUCAGUAUAAACCCAUGGUUUAGAUACUUCUUUGACAUUUUAGCGUCAAGACACGAAGAGGUUAUGAACUUAACCAACAGAUCGUAAACCAUCUGCAAAUGAGGUCACGCAGGGUCGAACACCGGCUCGUUAUCAUCACCAUCGUUCUCCCGGUAACUAGGAGGGAAAACUAUGAAGAGAUUCACAGCGAACAUUCUACACAUUUCGAGAACAGCUGGCUCGGUGAAUCUAACGGAGUAUUAAUUAUUUUUAGAUUUAACGUAUAUAAAACAUCAAAAAUGAUACUUUUAAAUUGGUUUAAAUACUUGAAAAUAUAUAUAGAUAGUCAAAAGUAAAUAUCUGAAAUAGUUAAAGUAUACUCAAAUCACCAAAAAUACUUAAAAUAAUUAUUGAUUUCGUAUCCAAAAUUUUAAAUCAAGCCAAUUGAUAUGUUAAGCUUAAGUAUUAUGACAUAUGUUAUUCAAAUUUAUACGUAAUAUAUUAUUUUAUUUAUACAUUUUGAGAAAUUUAAAAUAUAUAAUGAUUUAAGACUUUAAAAAUAAUUUAAAUUAGUUAUCCAAACCCAAACCAAACCCGCAAAGAUCCAAAUCGAACUCAAACCAAAAUUUAGAAACAUUCUAAUAAGGCUGAAAUCUUUGACCCCGAAAAUUCAAAAUACAAACCGAUCAGAACUAAACCCGUAUGGGUGUCCAAAAGCCCAUCCUUAGUCAUUAUUAUAUAUCGUAUUUUAUCAUCAUAUAAUUAAUCGUAUUUUAUAUGUACCAUCAUAUAAGUAAUCAUAUAAUUAAUAGUAUUUUAUACAUACCAUCAUAUAAAUAAUUACAUAUAUUAUAUUUUUAAAACUUAAUAUGAAAUAUGAAAACCAUAAUUUGAGUUGGUAUUUCAAAUUGGGCUUUGUAUUAUAUUUUUCUUAUAUAUAUUGACAAUAUUUUUUUAUAAUGGUUAUUGAAAAAUAGUUUAGUAAAAAUCCAUUUUUGAAUAUAUGUAUAUUUUUGAAUCAAUUUUUGAUAUAAAUCAAAUUUGAAUUAUUAUUUUGAUUUGAAAUAUGUAUAUAAAGUUUAAAUUUUGUUUUAUGGUUAGUUUAGAAAAAAAAAUUUUAGGGAAUUAGAUUGACCCAUUUUGGUAUAUUUUAAAAGUGGCCUAGAUAACUUUCAAUUUUUUAAAAAAACAUAAGCCCAUUACUUUUUUUCUUAAUACUACUAUCCUUGUUUUCAAACAAAAAUAUUUUUUUUUAAAAGACUGCAAUCCAUGUUUCCAAACACUCCAAAUUUUUAAAAGUCCUAUUCAAGUUUCCAAACACUCCAAUUUUGUACUUGUGUUUUAAUCCCCUAUAUAUUAAUUGAGGAUCAUUUAAAAAAUUAUAACCUGUAUUUUGUAUUAAUUAAAAAACGUCCUUGCUUAUGUGUCAGUUAAUUAAGCUGUUAAUUUUGCUUACGUGUCAACCUACAAAUCAAUUGGAAAAUAUGUUUGUCCAAAUCUAAUUGUUAGGCAAUUGCUAGGCGAUAUAUGUAUAUGGGAUAUGUGAUAUGAAAUAUGAUAUAAAACAUAUAAACUUUAGUUUAGCAUAAGAACAUGAUCGUAACAACUCAGAGCUAUGUCUAAAAAAACCUGGCGAAUGAAAAACAUUACUCGAUGAUAAUAACAUGAUCACAAGUUGACAAACAAUAUCGACGUUGGUAACAUAAAAGUUGAGAAACAAUAAUCCAGUAUAAGAAAAUUUUAUACAAUACUCGACCAUACAAAGUUUAAUAAGAAACUAUGAUGAUAGUUUAUACAUCCGAAAACUAAUCUGAUAGUUUAUACAUCCGAAAAAGUUGACUAGCAAAUAAAAUCGGACAUCUUCUUCCGUUAGUCUACAAUAACAGUUAUAAUACUUAUAUUCUCUUGAAAAACUUCUACACAAAACCUUACUAGUCAUUGUAGUUAUGGCAUUACAGUUCUGUAUAUCCGAGAAUUGAAAAAAACGAAGAAGAUGUCCGGUUUAGUAUUUAUAAUUUAACCGAGCAAAAUUGAAAGAAAAAUUGGUUCGUACAGAAUUUAACCGAGACGUAACCAGUAAAAAGACAUCGAAGAUAUUUACUUUUUGUAGGUAUCAAUGAUGUUUUCCUUUCUAGAUCAAAAAUUUAAUAAUACUCCCUUAAUAAUCUUAUAGAUAUAUGAGAAUAAAAUAUGCUUGAUACACAAGUCGGAAAGUUGGAAAUAUGGAAACUUUAUAUUUAAAAUUCCAAACUUUGAUAGAAAGGGAAUAUUUGAUAAUAUCUUUUAGUCGUCUACAAUCUAUAACCCAAUUGCUAUCCCCUAUAUAUUAAUAGAGAUAAUCAUAUUGCUAUCCCCUAUAUAUUAAUAGAGAUAAUCAUAUUGUGAUUUAACAUAAUAAAUCACAAUAUAAUUAGGAGAUAAUUGGAAAACAUAAAUGUAUAUGAUAUGUUAUACAGGGCAUCAUAAUAAUCAAUUAAAAAAUUAGUAAGUCCAAAAUCCAAUUGCUAGAAAAAGAUUAUAAUUCAAACAUAAAUGUAUAUGAUAUGAUAAACUUAAUAUUCGGCGAUCUCAUUAAAUGAAACUUUAUUUAAAUGGCGAUCUCCUAAUUAUAUUGUGAUUUAACAUAAUAACUUUAAAAAAAAAGUGUAAGAUAUAUUCUUAGUCUGUAUUACUUGGACAUCAAUUUAAAUCAAACUUUGUUAUAUAUUACGGCCUAAGUAUUGCAUGGUUUUGCUAUAAAUCAGAAAGUAAUGAUUUUUUAAGUGUUGUUUUUUUAUUAAUAGCAAAGAGACACUUUGAUAAAUAAAAAAUAGCAAAGAAACGCAGCUAUUCAAAAUUGUUUUGUUAAUAAAAGAAAAAGGAAGAAGAAUAUUGUUCGGUUCUCAUGCCUUACUUGCCUACAUAAAUUUAUAUAAAUAGUAAUACAUAAAUUAAGUUGUUUUUAUUACUAAACGAACUUAUAUAUCGAAUAUUUUUUCUUGCAACACAAUUCUAAAGAAAGAACUUAAAUUAUGAAAUUUAUAUUGAAGAUUAAAAAAAAUCUUUGUCACCUGCCUAAUUAUUUUUUGUCGUCUAGGAAAACAUUAAUAAAUAAUGACCUUUCGUAGUAGCUAAUGAUAUAUAUCACUUUAAUCUAACUUUCAUCAUAUUCAAAGUAUUGGUUGCAAACAAAUAAUACUAUCAUGUUUCUAUAUUUGGGUCUUAAGUAUAAUAAUAGUCGGGCUGCAAAAUUUUAUACUGUCUUAAUUUGGUCCAUAACCAAACUAUACUUCAAAUUAUAAGCUUAAUCCAAUUUGUGAUUGUCUUUUUCGUAUUUUAAUUUGUAAUCUUAUAUUGUCAAAAGAAAGUAAAAAUAUGAUAUUCUGAAAAUUAGUGUAACUUCAAAAUCGAAAAUAUAUAAAUUUUAUCUAAUGAUAAGUUAGUAAAAAUAUCCAAAUGUAUUGGUCCAACAUAUAUAUGAUUAUAUAAACAAACAAAAAUUGUAUACAUAUAAAAACAAUUCGAUUAUAGGGGAUUAUAAGAGUAUCAAUGAUAUCACAUUUUAAUUUUUGAUUUGGGCUUCUAUACUUUUUCUAUGUGUACCAAAUAUUUAUUGGUAGUUAAUUAUUAUAUAUUAAGAAAAACAUAAAUACCAAAUAUAUAUUGACCACAAGAACAUAUGUAUUCAUAAGUCAUCAGAUUUUACAAUAUAAAAACAUAAGUUUUUUAAUAAAUAUUUUAUCCUGCGCAAAACGCAGGUCUUAUCCUAGUAAGAUAGAUAAAACGUAAAAUUUAGCGAUUUGUCAUGGGUUGCUGGGCUCACUUUAACCUAUAUAAUUUCUUGUAUAAGAAGGCAAGAGAAACGGUGCCGUUUUAUGUUUUAUAUAGAGCUCUAUACAAACUUACAAGAAUAAAAGUAGAUGUAUGCAAAUCUGAUAUAUACAUGUGAAUUCAGACAAUGCAAUGAUGCCAACUUUACUUCUAAAAUCAAAAUAUAUCAUUAUAAGGAACUCUACUCAUAAAGCAUGUAACACUUCAUACCAAGCAUCCAUUAAUCUAAAUAUAGUAGCAGGUUGGUAAACACUUAAUUUGCUCACUCAUAGGAAGGAGGAGACUAGAGAGGUCUCACAGUCUCUUCAUUCAUUGCCGAAAUGGAUUCUUACAGAAGUAACCACGCCUCCUGAGCGUUCAAGUUCACAAACCACGCUGUCUCCUUGUUUCAGGUUGUACUUCUUACUUAGAGCCGCCCAGCCAGUGAAACAAGGGUUACGACCGUAGAUCUUAGUGAAAGCAUCGUGUUUUUGGUUGCGGACGAUGUAAUACAUGGGGGAUUUA